ACUUCGCAAAAAGGUUAGUUUGUCAGUUAAGAGUAAGCUACUGUUUUAGCUUUUUGUUUCUUUUGGUUGUUGGGAGAAGAUAGGAGAGGCAGAUAAUAUAAACCAUAGUGAUCAAUGCAUAACAAUCACUAAUCCAUCGUCCAUUUGGAAUGUAUUCGGCAGAAAAGUCACUCCUCUUCCUCUCCCCAUGUGUACAACUCCCAGGUUGUAGCUUUCAGCCAGCCUUUGCCUUUUCCCAUCCUUUUUUUUUUUUUUUUUAGCUCCGUUGGGCUUCUACAGAAUAUCCCCUGUGACUGGGGCAGAAGGUAAUCAGAGAUGAUAGUGUCUUUGCAGAAGGGCAGAGGUGCAGUCAGCAUAGACAGGCUUCUAGCUUAGGGGGGGUUCCCGGAUUUGGACAGAGUUGGGUAGUUUUUCCUUAUUAGAGAGCUGAGGAAUAUGCAGAGAGCUCAUUCUGGAGAGCAGAGGGGCUGCAAAACCCCUGCUAGUGAGAGAAUCAGGAUUUCUUGCCCUGUAGAGGGCAGGGACAGCUACCAUACAUCUUUCUUCCCAGACGGUUCAGGGUCUGAGGAGGCUGUUCCACCAGAUAAGUGGGUGCUUGUGACCUCUGAAUCAGUUCAGAGCUUUGUAAGUGGGUUCUAAGUAAUUUCUUGGUUUCAACAUUCAUGAGGUACUGAUUGUUCUAGGAAAAGAAACAUGCCCUAUCCCCCGAAGAGUGGUGAAAAGGACACAAAGUUAAUCAUGUACUGAGUGCAGUUAGUCUUACAGAUCACCCAGCAGGGAGGGAAGGGUGACUGCCCUUCUGUGAUGAUUCAGCAUGGGGUCCGUAGCCCUUGUUCAACAGUACCUUCCUUCAGUUCUGGUUAAUAGAAUGUACUUCCCUUUUAAAUUUUUCUGUAUGUGUUUUCAGUGCAAUCUGGUUCCAACUGAUGAAAUCACAGUGUACUAUAAAGCGAAGUCUGAAGGAACAUAUCUGAAUAAUGUUAUUGAAAGCCACACAGAGUUCAUAUUUGCCACCAUAAAGGCUCCCUUGAAACCAUAUCCAGUUUCUCCAUCAGAUAAAGUCCUUAUUCAAGAAAAAACACAGUUGAAGGGAUCUGAACUGGAAAUUACACUCACCAGAGGAUCUUCCCUUCCUGGUCCUGCUUGUGCAUAUGUCAAUCUUAACAUUUGUGCAAAUGGCAGUGAACAAGGUAAGAGUAAAUUCCAUGAUUUGUGUGACUUUUUUUUAGUUAAUACUUAUGGAUGUGAAAAAACAAUCAAAAAAACUUAUGGAUGUUUUUAAGAGAAUUGGAAUAAUUAUUUAAUCAUAUUUAAUAGAUAACUUUUUCUUCUUGUCAUCAAAAUGAAUUCACUAGGCGAGAUGCAGUGGAUCAUGCCUGUAAUCCUACUGCUUUUGGAAGCCAAGGUGAGAGGAUUGCUUGAGGCCAAGAGUUCAAGCCUAACCUGGCCAACAGAAUCAGAUCCUGCCUCAAUUUAAAAAAAAAAAAAAAAGGCCAGGCAUGGUAGCUCACACCUGUAAUCCCAGCACUUUAGAAGGCCGAGGCUGGUGGAUUACUUGAGGUCAGGAGUUCAAGACCUGAUAAACAUGGUGAAACCCUGUCUCUACUAAAAAUACAAAAAUUAGCCAGGCAUGGUGGCAGGUACUUACAAUCCCAGCUACUCAGGAGGCUGAGGCAUGAGAAUUUCUUGAACCUGGGAGGUGGAGGUUGCAGUGAGCUGAGAUUGCACCAUUGCACUCCAGCCUGGGUGACAAAGCAAGACU
rnacentral:sRNA from 1 species